rnacentral:lncRNA from 1 species
GGGUAAAAAUAGACAAAAGAUUGUUCCCAGAUUUAUUGAAAAUAAUGAUUUUCUUUAUAAGUGUGAAGAGGCUGGAUUCAUCUAACCUUCACUGGGAUUUAGAACAUGGAAAUGAUUUCAGAGAACAGAAUCUUCAUAUUAAGUUUCGUAACUGUAAAAAACAAAACAAAACAAAACACCAAGAUGAGUUGUGUGGUUGACAUGGAGGAAGGAAGGGAUGCCAUUCAGAGGGACCUUGACAGACUUGAAAGGACUUCUGUGAAAGAUCACCUUAACUGUAGGAUUCUUGGCAUUGCACUUAUAUUGUCAUUCAUCUUGACUGAAGCACAUUGCAAAGUACUGCAGAUGUAUUAGAUUUAUUUUCAAAAUGUAACUACUUAAUAUGCAACUGAAAUAUACAUCUUUUUUUUUUUAAUAAAUAUGUAUUUUUUACUACAGAUUCUGAUGUUGGCUCUUACUAAGAACCCUUUCAUGACAAAAUACUUAACUUUCAGCAGAUUUAUUAUUCUGUUCAGCAUCAUAAUUAGUACACAUAUUACCAGCUCAGCCUUCAAAAG